rnacentral:rRNA from 1 species
UAAUACGUAGGUGGCAAGCGUUGUCCGGAAUUAUUGGGCGUAAAGCGCGCGCAGGCGGUCCUUUAAGUCUGAUGUGAAAGCCCACGGCUCAACCGUGGAGGGUCAUUGGAAACUGGGGGACUUGAGUGCAGAAGAGGAAAGCGGAAUUCCACGUGUAGCGGUGAAAUGCGUAGAGAUGUGGAGGAACACCAGUGGCGAAGGCGGCUUUCUGGUCUGUAACUGACGCUGAGGCGCGAAAGCGUGGGGAGCAAACAGGAUUAGAUACCCUGGUAGUCCACGCCGUAAACGAUGAGUGCUAAGUGUUAGGGGGUUUCCGCCCCUUAGUGCUGCAGCUAACGCAUUAAGCACUCCGCCUGGGGAGUACGGCCGCAAGGCU